rnacentral:rRNA from 1 species
CACGUAGGGCGCAAGCGUUGUCCGGAAUUAUUGGGCGUAAAGAGCUCGUAGGCGGUCUGUUGCGUCCGCUGUGAAAACUCGGGGCUUAACUCCGGGCCUGCAGUGGGUACGGGCAGACUAGAGUGCGGUAGGGGAGACUGGAAUUCCUGGUGUAGCGGUGAAAUGCGUAGAGAUCAGGAAGAACAUCGGUGGCGAAGGCGCUCUGCUGGACCAUAACUGACACUCAGGGACGAAAGCUAGGGGAGCGAAUGGG